ensembl:snRNA U6 U6 spliceosomal RNA
AUGCUUGCUUCGGCACCAAACUUACUAAAAAAAAUUGAAGUAACACAGAAGGUUAGCAUUGCUCCUGCGUAAGAAUGACAUACAAAUUCAUGAAACAUUCCAUGAUAAA